rnacentral:lncRNA from 1 species
GGUUUCUGUAGUGAUGAAGCCGACUGCGGAGAUCUAUUGGCUGCUGGCUUUGUAAAUUUCAUUCAGUUUGGUCCAAUAGCAGAGGGGAGCAGGGAGACAUCAGGACCUCUCUCUCCAGUCUCUCUUCCUCCCAAACCCGUCUCUGUCUCUCAGUACAGAGCUCUUAUUCAGACCUAGCUCUGCCCUUCCUGCUCCGACUGUGUUCCUUUUUCUUCCUGACCAGAAGACUAUUUACGACAGAAACAACGAGUUUCCUCCAAACGGCGGGGUCGCUGUCGGUGGUCCUCACAUUCCUUUGGAGGAGCAAUUCUAGUUGGGAUUCGAGAAAGCAAAGGUGCCUGGACUAAAUACAUCCUCCUGAAUCAUACCCUCCAUCUGGGUUCCCUAGAAAAAGCUGGAUGUGUAAAAGGAACAUUUACAGCCGAUGCAGCUUUUCCACAGCUGAGGUAUCCAUUUGACUCACGACCAGGGCACAUUGGAAUGGCUAUGAAUGUCUCUAUGAACCUCAAAACCUCCAGUUGUAAAGAUGAAAUUAUAUGGAGUGUCCUACUUGAAACGUUGUCAUAGUGUGGAAUAGAUCAUCCUUAGCUUCCACAUCUGAUAUUCCUCAAAAGUAGGGAAAAAUGUGCUGAGAUGGAAAAGAAAUCAAGUAGAUUUCCAUGGAGGCAUUUUUAAAGGCAUCUUCUUAGAAGGACAAUGUAAUGGGUCUGGGAACACCCUGGAAUUUCACAUGUGAAAUGUAUAUGCACCAGGGAGAGAUUCGUUGUCCAUCAACAAUAAAAUGAAUGGGAUGCAGCUGAUGCACAUCCAUUAGCAUGGGUGCCCUCUACCUCUUCCAGUGAUGGAUUCCGACGGCUCUCCCACUGGUAGGGCAAAUGUUCAUAAUUAAGCAGAUUGACCAUGGAGAGCCAACUUGGCUGGUUUUGCCAAACCCCAGUCCAUUUGUUCCAUGAUCUAGAAGAGAGGAACGCUUGAUUAAGUGCAAGCAAUUAUGGUGAUUUUUAUUCUGCUUCACUAAACUUUUUAAUGAAGUGUAUUUUACACAGUUAAAA